rnacentral:lncRNA from 1 species
CAGUCUUGGGCUAGCGGGGUUAGGUAUGGCAUUAGGGAUAGCGAAGAUAACGUCAACCAAUUGGAGGGGGAAUUUGCGAUCCCAGCUUGUGGCCUGGAUCUCCAACUUGAUCAAAUCAGUGGGGAUGGGCUGCAUUUUUUGGACCUUGACAUCUCUAUUACGGGCGGUUCCAUCGAGGCUGCGGUGUGUGGAGGGCCCACUGGUGCGACUGUGCUGGUCCCACGCUGGUCCGGUGAUGGGUGGGUGCGCAGGAAAGCCGCAUUGAGGUCACUGCUGCUGAGAGUGGCAACGCAUUGCACUGCAGAGCGGGCCACCCGGGACGAGCUGAGGCGUGUCAUGGAGGUUGCCAGCAAGCACGGAUGCAGUCGUUCCUUCAUUGGAGGGCUGUGGAGUGAAAUUUUGAACAGGAGGAGCGCUUUGACUGCGCAGGAGGGGGGGGGCUCCUCUGCACUGAGAGAUCGGAUACAGAGACCGCCUCGGGGCCGGAGCGUGGAUGGCGCGGGCUCCUCGGAUCCGGCCACGGCCGCCGGUGCGCUCCGGGCUGAGUCUUGUGGGCCUGUCC